AACAGAACAGAGAAGGUCAGAACAGUACAGAACAGAGCAGAACAGAACAGAACAGAGCAGAGCAGGUCACAACAGAAAAGAACAGAGCAGAUCAGAACAGGUCAGAACAGAACAGAACAGAAAAGAACAGAAAGGAACAGAGCAGGUCAGAACAGAACAGAACAGGUCAGAACAGAACAGAGCAGAGCAGAGCAAAGCAGAACAAGUCAGAACAGAGCAAAGCAGAACAGAACAGAACAGAGCAGAACAGAACAGAACAGGUCAGAACAGAGCAGAGCAGAAAAGGUCAGAACAGGUCAGAACAGAGCAGAGCAGAACAGGUCAGAACAGAACAGAGCAGAACAGAACAGAGCAGAGCAGGUCAGAACAGACCAGAGCAGGUCAGAACAGUGCAGAGCAGUGCAGAGCACAACAGAGCACAACAGAGCAG
rnacentral:lncRNA from 1 species